AUCCCAUGAUGUGGACAUUGUGCCAAUAAAUCCUUAAAUCUUUCCUAUGCUUCACCGGUUGAUUCAUUAGAAUAUUGCUUGAAUUCCAUAACUUCUUGCACAACACC
rnacentral:snoRNA from 1 species